GAGACCGGUCGCGUAUCUCAGCGUUGGACUGUUCGGGCACCCGUCCGCCUGUUUUUCUGUUUUGGUAUUUAGCCUGGUUUGGUGGCCUCCCGGCGAAUUAUUGCGUUCAUUCGGAACUUCGACAAGGCAGCACUGCACUAUUGGACUACGGCAAGCCUGGGUCUUGACUGGCCGAGGUACGUCCUAACGGCGUGCUCCGUUGUACGGAAACUUCCUCUCCCUCGGACGCAGCCAAGAGUCCAGGCGUGGAACACUGUCAUCUAAUAGGCCCACGGCUCCCUGCUGCACUGCCACCGGGGCACACCACCGUGCUGCCACCUGGUGGCCCCUGGACGACCCACACCGGCCCUGCUUCCUGGUCUUGCCGCUGCCUGCUGCCUCUCGGAGACUCCUGCCCUGCUCGGUCUGACCACUGACUGGAACCCGGUGCUGUCUGCCUGCGGGGUGCCUGUUGUUCCUGCCGCCUUGACUGGUACUGUGCUGGGGCACAACCGCCUGG